rnacentral:lncRNA from 1 species
UAACUUUCACCUUCCUCACCUGAGAAUGCUGGAGAUGUGGUUUUUGUUGUGAAUUUCAAGGCUUUGAUUAUUUCUACUCAUGCUAUGUCAGAGUGGAUUUCCUGAGAAGGUUCUGGUCAGUAAGAAGUAUUCCUACAAUUGCAGGGCACAGCAUUGAGUGCCCAAGAUCUAUCCUAGAAGCCUAGUAUGGAUCACAACAGAAGAAGCAGAGUUUUCAAUGCUAGCAGAUGUAUGAAGGAAAAGGGAAAUUAGAUGAAAAUAAAGUUCAAGAUAUUUUACA